CCUACGGGUGGCAGCAGUGAGGAAUAUUGGUCAAUGGGCGCGAGCCUGAACCAGCCAAGUCGCGUGAGGGAAGACUGUCCUAUGGAUUGUAAACCUCUUUUGUCGGGGAGCAAAAUCCCCCACGCGUGGCGUUCGGAGAGUACCUGAAGAAAAAGCAUCGGCUAACUCCGUGCCAGCAGCCGCGGUAAUACGGAGGAUGCGAGCGUUAUCCGGAUUUAUUGGGUUUAAAGGGUGCGUAGGCGGGAUAUCAAGUCAGCGGUAAAAUCGUGGGGCUCAACUUCUUCGAGCCGUUGAAACUGGUGAUCUUGAGUGGGCGAGAAGUAUGCGGAAUGCGUGGUGUAGCGGUGAAAUGCAUAGAUAUCACGCAGAACUCCGAUUGCGAAGGCAGCAUACCGGCGCCCAACUGACGCUGAAGCACGAAAGUGUGGGUAUCGAACAGGAUUAGAUACCCGAGUAGUC
rnacentral:rRNA from 1 species